rnacentral:rRNA from 1 species
AUUGGUUAAGGCUCCCAGUAGACGACUGGGUUGAUAGGCCAGAUGUGGAAGCCCGGUAACGGGUGGAGCUGACUGGUACUAAUAGGCCGAGGGCUUGUCCU